rnacentral:lncRNA from 1 species
UCUACUGCUGGUCCAUUUGUGUGUUGCAGCUAUCCCAAUGUUAACCUCUAGCCUGAUCCCAGAUCUGGCAUGCCAAGGCACGACAAUGACCAAAGAUGUUGGCAAGACCGCACAAACAGAUCUGGGACCAGGCUAGACAGUCCAUGUAUUAAGAUAAAGCCUAGUAGUGCCAUUAUACAUGUAUGUUCAGGAUGUUGAUGUGAUAUCCUAUUUGUUAUGAUGAUCAUGAUGAUGACAUUGUAUUAGGGUUGUAACUUCCUGAAAAUUCCCCAGUUUUCCAGAAAUUCCUGUUGUAAGAUUCCUGGAAUCGGGAGGGAAUAAGCAGAAAACCCAGGAAUCUUCUACUGGAAUUUCUGGAAAAAUCUGUCAAGUUUUAGAAAGUUACUGUAGUUCUCCAACCCUACAUUGUAUCUAUGCACUGUACUUUCCACCAGUAUGAUAUCAGCCUCUGACAGGCAGGCAGUGAAUGUGCCUUGGAGGUUGUCUCCCAAAUAGCACCCUAUUCCCUAUAUAGUGCACUACUUUUGACCAACCGUUGAAUGUUUUAACCAGGGUACGUAUUGAUGUUUAACCUACAGUUCUAGCCGAUUGGCCUACAUGCUGUCUUGUCACCUUCUAUUGCUUGUGUUCCACGUGCAGUAUACUUCCUGGUACAAACUACCACAUGGUACAGGUUGACAUUCUCAACCCAGGGAUCCAGAACCAUAGAAUUAGAAUCUAGAAUUCAUGCGGAACACUAACCACAUAUACCCAGUUGUACUCUAUACAAGAGACUGGCAGUUACAUGUUUCUUUUAAACUUUCGUCGACCUAUUUUAUGAAAUAAUCAGCCUUUUUAUCGAAGGGUUCGUUCAUUCGGUUGUGAUGAUACUGAUGUGAUCUUAAAUGUUACAUUGUUGUGCCCUCCUGUACCUUUUUUUAGGAAGACACUCCUGUCCUUGGCCUUUCUCCCUGGAAAUACUCAUGUCCUUAUCAUGGUUUUCCACUAGCCUUCAUUCAGUCACAGAUAACACUAUAGCAUGGUUUUCCACUAGCCUACAUUCAGUCACAGAUAACACUAUAGCAUGGUUUUCCACUAGCCUACAUUCAGUCACAGAUAACACUAUAGCAUGGUUUCCACUAGCCUACAUUCAGUCACAGAUAACACUAUAGCAUGGUUUUCCACUAGCCUACAUUGUCACAGAUAACACUAUAGCAUGGUUUUACACUAGCCUACAUUCAGUCACAGAUAACACUAUAGCAUGGUUUUUACACUAGCCUACAUUCAGUCACAGAUAACACAUAUGCAAAUGGGAACGUAUUAACUAAGACAAACACUAAUUUCCAUAUGCAACAUCUGGGUGCUUCAGCUUGUUUUCAGGUUACUGAUUAGCCACAUCACCAUGACUGCAUUUUUAAUGAUUCCAUCAGCCAACAUCGCAGUUUGUUUUUAUCGUUGAACUGUGAGCGUGGAACUGUCUAGCCCGCAACCUGCCUUGAGAGGAGUUUAAUUUGAUACCUGAUAUACUGUCCACCUCUGUGCCUGAACUUUGUAGCUGUGUUAUACGGUCCAUCCUCUGUGCCUGAACUUUGUAACUGUGUUAUACUGUCAUCCUGUGCCUGAGCUUUGUAGCUGUGUUAUACGUCCAUCCUCUGUGCCUGAACUUUGUAACUGUGUUAUACUGUCCAUCCUGUGCCUGAACUUUGUAACUGUGUUAUACUGUCCAUCCUGUGCCUGAGCUUUGUAGCUGUGUUAUACUGUCCAUCCUCUGUGCCUGAACUUUGUAACUGUGUUAUACGGUCCAUCCUCUGUGCCUGAACUUUGUAACUGUGUUAUACUGUCCAUCCUCUGUGCUAACUUUGAACUGGGUUAUACUGUCCAUCCUCUGUGCCGGAACUUUGUAACUGUGUUAUACUGUCCAUCCUCUGUGCCUGAACUUUGUAACUGUGUUAUACUGUCCAUCCUUUCCGAACUUGUUAACUGUGUAUACUGGUCCAUCCUCUGUGCCUGAGCUUUGUAGCUGUGUUAUACUGUCCAUCCUCUGUGCCUGACUUUGUAACUGUGUUAUACUGUCCAUCCUCUGUGCCUGAGCUUUGUAACUGUGUUAUAUGUCCUCCUGUGCCUGAACUUUGUAACGUGUUAUACUGUCCAUCCUGUGCCUGAGCUUUGUAGCUGUGUUAUACUGUCCAUCCUCUGUGCCUUAACUUAACUGUGUAUACUGUCCAUCCUCUGUGCUGAGCUUGUACUGUGUUAUACUGUCCAUCCUCUGUGCCUGAGCUUUGUAACUGUGUAUACUGUCCAUCCUCUGUGCCUGAACUUUAACUGUUUCCAACCUAGUAAAUCACAUUUACCACUAUGUUUUGUGUGACUACCUUAUGUAUGUGGGUGUUCUUUGGAUAGAUUGUUGAUGCCAAACAUUUUUGAAAGGCAUACUUCCAAUGUGCCAACAAAGCAACAAAACAAACUUCAGUUUCUUAGCAGCAGGCCAGCAUUCUGGAGUCGCCUCCACUGUUGAGUUGAGACUGGUGUUUGUGGGUGCUAUUUAAUGAAGCUGCCAGUU